AGCACCUCAAGUGGUCAGGAUGAAUUAUUGGGCCUAAAGCAUCCGUAGCUCGUUUUGUAAGUUUUCGGUUAAAUCCAUGCGCUUAACGUAUGGGCUGCCGGGAAUACUGCAUAACUAGGAAGUGGGAGAGGUAGACGGUACUCGGUAGGAAGGGGUAAAAUCCUUUGAUCUAUUGAUGACCACCUGUGGCGAAGGCGGUCUACCAGAACACGUUCGACGGUGAGGGAUGAAAGCUGGGGGAGCAAACCC
rnacentral:rRNA from 1 species